UAUCGACGAGUUUGAUCCUGGCUCAGGAUGAACGCUAGCUGGAGGCUUAAUACAUGCAAGUCGAGCGGGAUUGGGUAGCAAUACCCAUGAGACCGGCGCACGGGUGAGUAACGCGUACGCAACUUACCUCCAAGCGAGGGAUAGCCCUGGGAAACUGGGAUUAAUACCUCAUGUGAUUAUGAUGCCGCAUGGUGUUAUAAUUAAAGUUCAGGCGCUUGGAGAUGGGCGUGCGUCCUAUUAGCUAGUUGGUGAGGUAACGGCUCACCAAGGCGACGAUAGGUAGGGGGCGUGAGAGCGUGGCCCCCCACACGGGUACUGAGACACGGACCCGACUCCUACGGGAGGCAGCAGUAAGGAAUAUUGGACAAUGGGCGCAAGCCUGAUCCAGCCAUCCCGCGUGCAGGAUGACAGCCCUACGGGUUGUAAACUGCUUUUGUUAGGGAAGAAACCCCUCGAUUUAUCGGGGGCUGACGGUACCUUUCGAAUAAGCACCGGCUAACUCCGUG
rnacentral:rRNA from 1 species